UAAAUAUUAAAAUUUACUUAAUGCUGAUCAGUAAAACGUCUUCAUAUUGUCUUGUGUUAAAUUUAUUUUUUUACUACAUUUAGGUGGCCAAAGUUGCCGCGGAGGAAGUAGUCAAGGAAGCAAAACUAAAGGCAAAGCAGCUCAUGUCAGGAAGACAUGAAGAGGACUCAGAAUCUCAGAAGAAAACAUUAUGCAUUUUCACUCCGGGUAGAAAAUAUUGCGUUGUGCAGGAGAAGGGGUACAACUAAGAAUACAAAAAA